GACGAACGCUGGCGGCGUGCCUAAUACAUGCAAGUUGAGCGCUGAAGGUUGGUACUUGUACCAACUGGAUGAGCAGCGAACGGGUGAGUAACGCGUGGGGAAUCUGCCUUUGAGCGGGGGACAACAUCUGGAAACGAAUGCUAAUACCGCAUAAAAACUUUAAACACAAGUUUUAAGUUUGAAAGAUGCAAUUGCAUCACUCAAAGAUGAUCCCGCGUUGUAUUAGCUAGGUGGUGAGGUAAAGGCGCACCAAGGCGAUGAUACAUAGCCGACCUGAGAGGGUGGUCGGCCACAUUGGGACUGAGACACGGCCCAAACGCCUACGGGAGGCAGCAGUAGGGAAUCUUCAGCAAUGGACGAAAGUCUGACCGAGCAACGCCGCGGGAGUGAAGAAGGUUUUCGGAUCGUAAAACUCGGUUGGUAGAGAAGAACGUUGGUGAGAGUGGAAAGCUCAUCAAGUGACGGUAACUACACAGAAAGGGACGGCUAACUACGUG
rnacentral:rRNA from 1 species